GCCGAGGUAGCUCAGGUUUGGGAGAGCACGGCACUGAAAAUGCCGGUGUCGACAGUUCGAGUCUGUCCCUCGGCACC
rnacentral:tRNA from 1 species